AUGUAUACUCUUGGCCCAUGGAAAACACAACCCGGCCCAGACCUGGUUAGAUAUACUUGGACAAGGCCCAGUUGCGGUCCAUCGAGGCGGCCACGAGAACUGGGUGACGAACAAAGCCCCUGCAGCUCGUCUCUCGUCUUCUCCGCCGCCAUGGCCUCCGACCUCGGGCAACCGUCGCCGGCGAAACGCCCGCCGACGGCGCCCACCACGAUUACCGCUAUCGGCGAAGACCUCCUUUGCGAGAUCUUCCUCCUCCUUCCCUCCCUCCCGAGCCUCGUCCGCGCCGCCCUCGCCUGCCGCACCUUCCUCCACGCCGUCCGUUCGUCCCCCGCCUUCCGCCGCCGAUUCCGGGCACUCCACCCGCCGCAGAUCCUUGGCUUCUUUUGCGACCCGGGCCGCGAAGCCGUCCCUCCCUUCGUCCCCCUCCGCAGCCGCUCCGACCCGGACAUCGCCGCCGCCGUCCGCGGCGCCGAUUUCCUCCUCACCCGGAUCCCAGAAGACAGCGGCGAUUCCACCCUCGGGUGGGAGCUGCAGAGCUUCCACGGCGGCUACGUCGUCCUCGUCAACAACGCCACCGACCAGAUCGCUGCCUACAACCCCCUCACGCAGGCACUGCAUCUCAUCCCCCACCCACCCGAAGAUAUCAUCUUCUCCAUCUCCCCUGAGUUCCACAUCCUCUUGUCGGAAGAGGACCAGAGGGUGUUCCGUAUGGUCUGUGUCCAACACCAGGACACGCCGAGCCUCGCCGUCUUCUCAACCGCGACCAGGGAGUGGCAGGUUUUGCCGUGGGUGGAGACCCCGCCACAACCUGAAGGCGACAUCCGCUUGUUCUACCAUGGCACGCAGCUGAAUGGAUUUGUUUACUGGAAACACGCGAGCCAAGCCUAUGUGCUCGCUCUCAACACCGCGACAAUGCAAUUCUCUAGAGUGAACUUGCCGCAUUUCUUGGCAGAGAUAGAUCAUAUGCUGUUUAGGCUUGGUCAGACCAAGGAUGGGAAGCUCUGUAUGGUUGCAGCAGAUGACUCUGACCCAAAGAUAGGAACGCUUGUUGUUCGUGUCUGGGGAGCCGAUGAUGACGGUGUUGAGAAGUGGAUGCUGGAAGAUACUUUUUCACUGAGUAAAUUUGUUGAUGUCACCAAGUCUUCAACAGAGUAUGAUACCACGGUGCAGAUUGAGGCAUUCGUCGAUGGCUUUCUGUACCUCUGUAUUAAGUAUGGUGAGCAUACCGAGUCUCUGGUAUCCCUCUGCCUGGAAACAGGAAAGCUAAACAAGAUAUUUGAUGAUACAUAUACAAGCCCUGCUCAUCCCUACAUCAUGUCAUGGCCUCCUUCUUUGGUUUGCAACAAGGAGGAUUCACAAACCAAGAUUACUGGAGGCAGUGUUGAGGACGCUGGUUCUGUGGGCACAAAAGAAACUCCCUCUGUUUUAGUCACAGCGCCACAAUCGCACAAAAUUGAUUGA
rnacentral:rRNA from 1 species